GGGCCCGUAGCUCAGCCUGGAUAGAGCGACUGGCUUCGAACCAGUAGGCCGCGUGUUCGAAUCACGCCGGGCUCG
rnacentral:tRNA from 1 species